rnacentral:rRNA from 1 species
UUGAUCAGCCCACACUGGAACUGAGGACCCGUCCAGACUCCUACGGGAGGCAGCAGUGGGGGAAUCUGCGCAAUGGCGAAAGCUUGACGCAGCGACGCGCUUGAGGGAUGAAGGUCUUCGGAUCGUAAACUCUGUUAGGAGGGAAGAAACGUGCAGAAUUAACACCUCUGCAUAAUGACGGUACCUCCAGAGAAAGCACUGGCUAACUUCGUGCCAGCAGCCGCGGUAAUACGAAGGGUGCAGCGUUAUUCGGAAUCAUUGGGCGUAAAGGGUGCGUAGGCGGCACGCUAAGUCAGCUGUCUAAUUUUCCGGCCUAACCGGAAGUCGGCGGCAGAUACUGGUGUGCUAGAGGAUGAAAGAGAGAGGUGGAAUUCUCGGAGUAGCGAUAAAAUGCGUAGAUCUCGAGAGGAACACCGAUGGCGAAAGCAGCCUCUUGGUUCACUCCUGACGCUCAGGCACGAAAGCGUGGGUAGCAAACAGGAUUAGAUACCCUGGUAGUCCACGCUGUAAACGUUGAUUACUAGACGUUGGUUUCGCAAGGAAUCAGUGUCGUAGCUAACGCGAUAAGUAAUCCGCCUGGGGAGUACGGUCGCAAGAUUAAAACUCAAAGAAAUUGACGGGGGUCCGCACAAGCGGUGGAACAUGUGGUUUAAUUCGAUGGUACGCGAGAAACCUUACCUGGGCUUGACAUGCACUUGAUCGCCAUAGAAAUAUGGCUUUUCGGAGCUUGCUCCGGACAGGUGCACAGGUGCUGCAUGGCUGUCGUCAGCUCGUGUCGUGAGAUGUUGGGUUAAGUCCUUUAACGAGCGCAACUCUUGCUAUCAGUUGCUAUCCUUCGGGAGCACUCUGAUGGGACUGCCUGGGAAACCAGGAGGAAGGAGAGAAUGACGUCAAGUCAUCAUGGUCCUUAUGUCCAGGGCUACACACAUGUUACAAUGGUCAGUACAGCGGGCUGCAAUCUCGUAAGAGUGAGCAAAUCCCACAAAGCUGAUCUAAGUUCGGAUUAGGGUCUGCAACUCGACCCUAUGAAGUUGAAAUCGCUAGUAAUCGCAUAUCAUCACGGUGCGGUGAAUACGUUCUCGGACCUUGUACACACCGCCCGUCACACCACGAAAGCUGUCUGCACCCGAAGUUGUCUAAGCUAACCCGU